AUUGAACGCUGGCGGCAUGCUUUACACAUGCAAGUCGAACGGUAACAGGGAGCUUGCUCCGCUGACGAGUGGCGAACGGGUGAGUAAUGCAUCGGAACAUGCCCAGUCAUGGGGGAUAACUACGCGAAAGCGUAGCUAAUACCGCAUACGCCCUGAGGGGGAAAGUGGGGGAUCUUAGGACCUCACGUGAUUGGAGUGGCCGAUGUCAGAUUAGCUAGUUGGUGAGGUAAAGGCUCACCAAGGCGACGAUCUGUAGCGGGUCUGAGAGGAUGAUCCGCCACACUGGGACUGAGACACGGCCCAGACUCCUACGGGAGGCAGCAGUGGGGAAUUUUGGACAAUGGGCGCAAGCCUGAUCCAGCCAUGCCGCGUGAGUG
rnacentral:rRNA from 1 species